AUGUAUAUUAUAUAUAUAGACAUGUGUGUAUAUAUAUGUAUACACACGUCUAUAAGUAUGGGCGUAUGUGACCUAUUCACACACCCACCCCCGCGUAGGCACUGGGGCCCGGGGGCGCGGCGUGGGGGGGGGCGUGGCCGGGCCGGGCGCGCAGACUACAACUCCCAGCAUGCCUCGGGGAGGGGGCGGGGCGCCUCGGGUGACGUGACGCGGCCCGCCCCGCCCCCGCGGCUGAGGUGCGCGAGCGUGCCGCCGCCGCCGCGCCAGAGGGCUGGCGGCUCGUGGGAGGCGGCGGUUGGCGCGGCCGUUGGAGCGAGGGAGCCGGCGCCCAUCGGAUUAUCGUCUCCGCGCGCCCGGCCGCCGCGGCGAAGGCAGCCGCCGCUUGCCGGCCUGUGUCCCCCGGAGCCGCGGGGGCGGCGGAAGCGCUGUGGGGGCUCCUUCCACCCCGCCGGGGCUGUCGCGCUGCCUCCGGCCGCUGAGGAGACGCGUGGAGAGGCUGCCCCUUCCUCCCUCCCUCCUCCWCCUCCUCCUCCGCCGCCUCCUCGGGGAGCUGCGGCUACGGACGGGGGUGCCCCUUCCGCCUGCUUCCUGCCUGGGGUGAGUGUCGCGACUGUCGCGACAGAGCGCAGCUCCGCGCGCCCGUGGGGGGGGGGAGGGGAGCGGGGGCGCCCGCCUCCGUGGCCCCCCCCCGCUCUGCAUGGGCUGUUUUGGUGUGUUUGCAGGGCUUUGUGCUCCCGUGGCGGUUGGCUGGUCGUGUGCAGGGUUGGUGGGUUUUUUUUCCUUUUUUUUCCUUUUUCUGGGGGUUUUGCGAGGGUUUUUUUUUCUCCCUCUUUGCUCCCCGCCCCCCCUCUUCUCCGAGGGGAAAAUUUCCUGGGCAGCGGAGUUGAGCGAGCCCCUUCCCCGCUGGCUYCCCUGGAUGUGCUGGGGGAGCUCUUUGUCAUGGAGAGGCUGCGGAGCACUCUCGCCUUCAGUGCCUACCCCCGCAAUAAAUACGUGUAUGUAUGUUCCUUCAAAACAAAACGACUUGCUCGUUCAUUAUUUGGACUCUAA
rnacentral:lncRNA from 1 species